GAGGAAAUGGAACGUCAAAAAGAACCAGUUUCGUCAAUACAGUCGUCGAUAACAUCGUCAUUGUUACAAUUGUCUUCUAAAGUAGAAAGAGUGACAUGUUUUCCCAACUUUUUUCAGUGUCCAAUAUAGUUACAGGAUGGACCAUGUCUUCUAAUAAAUUAACGUGAUCUAAGACUGGAGGCCUUGGCUGUAUAACUUUUCCAACUCCCAAUGUGUCUAAAUAAGAAGGUAUUGUGGGAACAGUGUUCAGAUAUAAUCCUAAUAAUUUGUCCGGAUCGUUCACACCAUAAUGGAAAGAGAGACAUGCAUAAAGAUGCUUGCAGAAAUAUGGCUGACCACGAAUAAUAAAAUAGAGACAUGUACAGGAACCGAAAAGAGGACUUCUGAUGUAAAUGUUGAUUGCCACAUAUUACUCUGAAACCAGAGGUC